rnacentral:rRNA from 1 species
GAUGAACGCUAGCUACAGGCUUAACACAUGCAAGUCGAGGGGCAGCAUGGUCUUAGCUUGCUAAGGCCGAUGGCGACCGGCGCACGGGUGAGUAACACGUAUCCAACCUGCCGUCUACUCUUGGACAGCCUUCUGAAAGGAAGAUUAAUACAAGACGGCAUCAUGAGUCCGCAUGUUCACAUGAUUAAAGGUAUUCCGGUAGACGAUGGGGAUGCGUUCCAUUAGAUAGUAGGCGGGGUAGCGGCCCACCUAGUCUUCGAUGGAUAGGGGUUCUGAGAGGAAGGUCCCCCACAUUGGAACUGAGACACGGUCCAAACUCCUACGGGAGGCAGCAGUGAGGAAUAUUGGUCAAUGGGCGAGAGCCUGAACCAGCCAAGUAGCGUGAAGGAUGACUGCCCUAUGGGUUGUAAACUUCUUUUAUAAAGGAAUAAAGUCGGGUAUGGAUACCCGUUUGCAUGUACUUUAUGAAUA